rfam:Triticum aestivum genome assembly, contig: Triticum_aestivum_CS42_TGACv1_scaffold_328936_4BS
AUAAUACUCCCUCCGUCCGAAAAUACUUGUCACCAAAAUGUACAAAGAAAUGUAUCUAGAACUAAAAUACAUCUAAAUACAUUUUUUUAUUCAUUUUGAUGAUAAGUAUUUCCGAACGGAGGAAGUAUGUA